GCUUUUUUCGCAAUGGAUAGCAAGAGAAUGAAGCAAAUUAAAUAGAAGUAAAUUAAAAAGUUGGUUAAAAUUACAUGCUCUUUCUAAAUCCUGAAAGAAAAAUGUGGGUUUAGUAUCCCUUUAAAUGAGAAACCUAUUUGUUUUAUAGAUUGCCACAGUUAAAUUAUGUCUUAUUCCAGCAGGUCAUCUCAACAACUAAUAUGCGUAUAAAGAAUUCUUAUAAAUUUUACUCCAAAGGGAAACAGCCAGUCUUGUUUUUUGGUAUCCUGCAAACACUGUAUGUUAUCAUUUACAUGUUAGGGGAAACUGCUUUGUUUGUGCCUCAAUAGCCAUUCGAUACAUAGACAAAUCAGCAACAUCCCUUUCAUUGCAGGUAGGCAUCACCCCUACCCAACAACUAAUAUUCAUGCAGAUGGUACAAGCAGUUUUUGUACCUUUUUGUAUACUAGUCUUACAUAUUCUGGCGAGUGGACUUCCAGUUCUAGAAUGGCAACAUUCACAUGUUCCAGGUAAGCCAGUGUGGUCUGUAUUAUAAUUUAAUGGUUAGACAAAUUGGUUUUAGCUCACUGGAUCUCAAACCCAAUCAUGCCUGAGCUCUAACUAGGUACAUUAAAGAGAUAGUGUAGUCAAAAUUAAACUUUCUUGAUUCAGACAGAGCAUGCAAUUUUAAUCAACUUUCUUAUUUACACCUAUUAAUUUUUGUUCUCUUGGUACCUUUAUUUCAAAAUCGGGAAUGUAACCAUUAAAUUUGACAUUUCAACAACACAAAAUGUUUCAUUACUGCAA